UAAAUGACUUGUGAGAGACGAGUGGGAGAGUUUCCAGUACACGGUAUGGAAGCGGCUGUGGCAGCAGUGGCGAAUGCUUCCCAUCCUUCCACGUCCCUCUUUCAAAUACCGGCACACCGCUGCCAAUGAGUCCCGCUACCGUUACACGCUGCUCCUUCAUAUCUCCGCCUAGAACUCCUAUUCUGACCUGGACUACACUGUCAGUGUUACAUCACUUUUAACAGCAAUUCGCAAAAUCACGUCGUCACUACAAGCUACAGAGUAACACUUACCCUCAAGUUCUGAAUGACGGGCGGUCGAUUCGACUUUGAUGAUGGGGGGACCUACUGCGGAGGAUGGGAGGAUGGCAAAGCCCACGGCCACGGUGUGUGCACCGGACCCAAGGGCCAGGGCGAGUACUCUGGCUCCUGGUCGAACGGUUUCGAGGUAGUUGGCGUCUACACCUGGCCCAGUGGGAACACGUAUCAGGGUUACUGGGCGCAGGGGAAGAGACACGGGCUCGGAAUUGAAACCAAAGGGAGGUGGAUUUACCGAGGAGAGUGGACUCACGGGUUAAAGGGCCGUUACGGAGUCAGGCAAAGCGUAAACACGCCGGCCAGGUACGAGGGUACCUGGAGUAACGGCCUGCAGGACGGGUAUGGCGUGGAGACGUAUGGUGAUGGAGGCACGUAUCAGGGUCAGUGGAGUGGUGGCAUGCGUCACGGCUAUGGAGUACGUCAAAGUGUUCCCUAUGGCAUGGCUUCUGUCAUCCGCUCACCUCUACGAACUUCACUGUCUUCACUCCGCAGUGAGCAGAGUAAUGGUACAGUACUGCGUGACAGCCUAUCUGAUAGCCCUGCUGGCACACGUGGUGGUUUUGUGCUCAACUUCCAAUCAGAUGGAGAAGGUUCAGAGAAGAGAAAGGGUCUUUUUCGCCGUGGCUCCUUUUUUGGUAGCCUUCAGCGACUACGCAAAUCUGAUUCACGCUCAUCAAUUUCUAGUAAGCGCAGUUCAGCACACAGUGACACUACUAUGAGCCGCAUCAGUUCAAGUGACGCCAACUCUACCAUUAGCUUUGGGGAUGGAGACCCCGGCGAUGACUACCUGCCUCUUGAGGACAGUGUGGAUGCUACCACCACCGAGUCGUAUGUGGGCGAGUGGAAAAAUGACAAACGCAGUGGCUUUGGUAUCUCUGAGCGGUCUAAUGGCAUGAAAUAUGAAGGUGAGUGGUUGAACAAUAAGCGACAUGGCUAUGGCUGCACCAUCUUUCCUAAUGGGACGAAGGAAGAAGGGAAGUACAAGAACAAUGUGCUGAUCCGGGGUAUCAGGAAGCAGCUGUUCCCACUGAAGAAUACCAAGACCAAACAAAAAGUGGAUCGUGCCAUUGAAGGAGCAGUGAGAGCAGCAGCCAUUGCCAGAACCAAAGUUGAGAUCGCCAUCUCCAGGACGUCCCAUGCCCGGGUCAAAGCAGAGUGUGCAGACCAGGCUUCACAAUCAGCCUGCCAGGAUUCCGAUAUUGCCCGAGCUGUGGCCAGAGAGCUCUCCCCAUCUUUCCAUCAGCCAGGACCUGACUACACACUGCAGAAGUACAGUGACUCGCAAGAUGUAACGGAGAUGCCCAGAGAGGAGACAAAAGAGAAAUCUCUAUCAGGGAGCCCACAUUUCUACAGGAAAGGCACAACACCAACCCAGUCUCCAUCUGCCAGCCCAGGUCCCAGCCCUAGUCCUUCACCUACUGCUGCUGAAAAGACUUUUUACAGCAGUAAAACUCUUGCCUCUGAUGUAGCAGCAAACACUGGUGGAAAAGAAAACAAAGCUCCAACAGCAGAUGCUUUGACAGCAGGCAUAACAAAAGCAGGGUCAAAACUUUCUCUGAGACAGCAAGUAAGGCAACAAGAGGCUUCUCCAGCAGUCAAACAGUCUGUUACCACAACAGCCAGCAGUUACUCAAGCAAUGGACAGAUUCACUCCCAGUACCAUGGUUACCAUGCUAAAGCAAAUCUCAAGAUUCAACCCCGUGAAGAACCAAUUGGUGUGGUGGAUGAUCUUCACCCAUCUGACCUUGUACACUUGCUGCCGUCACCUGUCAAACAAAUUCAACCACCAGCAACAAAACCCCUGCCAGCCCCUGUCCCUUCACAAGUUCCAGCAAAAGAUGGCACCAAAGCACAAGAGCCUCCCAAGGAAUCACAAAAAAAGGAAUCAAGCAAAUCAAAGAGCCUUGCAGAAACCAAGAAAGCCAGUAUGGAAAUAGAUCCUGAAAUUGUAGAGGACAAAUCGGGCCCCAACUCCAUCUUGGUGGUUCUUGUGAUGCUGUUGAAUGUAGGUCUAGCGAUCAUUUUUGUCCAUUUCCUCACCUGACCGCAUCUGGACUCGGGACAUGAUGGAGUAUCCAUGGAGACUCCAUCCUUGCCUCUUCCUCUGGUGAAAGGACUACGAGGAAGAGAGAAAUGAAUAAUUCAUGGAUCCAUCCAGACUAGUCAGAGGGGCCUUUUUUAAAAAUGACAGCAGACAGAACAGCAGACACGGACAAAACGGAGGCCUGAAAAUAGCCGGGUGGAGGAGAGGAUAAAAACACAUGGAGGAAUGAGGGGGGUGGCAAGGGAGAAAGCUGAAACCAUCACCACCCCUGGACUGUGUGAAAGUCUUUGGUGCCCAAGUCCAGCCUGAUUGGACUGUUGAUGACGUGUGACUUCAGUGUGCAGUGAAAGCUGAAGCUGGCAGUAGCUAGUUGGAAAUCGGGCCUUCACCCUCAGCGAGAUGAGCCAAUGGGAGCAGAGUGGAUUUGAGUGUCGGGCCUAGCAUCUAUACUGCCCAUAAAAACCUGGAGUUUGUGCCUGUUUAUCAGUCAGUCCGACUGCUGAGCAAAUUUUCACAGUUUGAAAUGCUGCAAUAAAAAGUUUGUGCCUUGUCCAGCUGAGAUGUAAAGAAUUUGUUUUGUAGAUGAUCAGUGAACAACAGCACGGACAUUCAGUCGUUAUGUUGCUCUUCAUGCCAUCAUUUACUUUGCACCAAGCAUACAUUGAUGAGAAGAUGGCUUUGCACUGAUACCCACUCUGUGUCGCAUGGAGUUAUUUUUACUUCAGUUCAGCAAGAACAACUCAUCUUUUCUCUCACAUAUAAGUUCUCAUCAGACUGUUGUGACCUAGCUUGUGCACAGAUUUCAUCACAUAUGUGUGUGCUUCAGCAGUUUGUGUAUGAGAGUGUGAGAGGAUGGGCAGGUGUUGGACUGGAUAAGUUCAGAGAUGCACUUUGAGUUGAUGGAAGCCAACAGCUGCCUUACCGUUUUACAGAGUGACAUGGUAGUGGGUAAGAAUGGGCUGGGCAGGAAUGUGAAGCACCAAGCUGCUUCCCUGUGCCAGCUCCUAGGAGAGCGGCUCUAUUUCUAUCGGUCUGUUUAUUGAUCCAUUUUUAUCUGAUUCUGUCUCAGUUCCUGCUUUUUUACUUUAUUAAAACUUAACCACAGACAAUAUUUUCAUUCACUGUCCACAUUAUUUCAUUUAAAACUGGUUUAUUGCACUUAUAGUUUUGAUCAUUAUAAUGGCUGAUUACCAGUCUGUGUAUGUUGAAUGUUAAUAUUUUAGUUGACAAAUGAGUCCGUCUUCCAGUGGGCUGAGAAUGCACUCAAGCCUCCACCGAAGCAGCUCACUCUUUGGACAAUAUUUCCUUUUAAAGGAAUAUUAUUGUAUUUUGUUUGUAUCCAUUUGUUUUCUUUGUUCUUUUUAAACCUUUUUAAAGUCUAUAGUGCAGUAAAAAGAAAUGCAAAGUGCAGGCUUUUGUUUGCCUUGUUAAAAUCUAUGUUACUAUAAAUGACAGAACUGAGUAUAAUUAUUUUGUAUUUAUGUGGAUACGAAACAUGCACCAUUCAUUUUAUUGUAUAAUGAGUUUAAAUGCUUGGUUCCAACCAUGCUUGGUUGGUUAUUACUAAUCUGUUGACCUUGAAGGAGAGGUCACAGGUCAAAUAUGACAUAACAUUUGAAAUAUGGUAGUUUUCGACAAUGCACUCUUUCACAACGUGGUUUCUAAGUUAUGAUGUUUUUUCUGUCAAUUUUCAACCAAUAAAUCAUUAAGUUGA